CGGGCAGUAGCUCAGUGGUAGAGCUCCCGAUUCAAAUGCGGGGAGACCUGGGUACGAUUCCUGGCUGCUUAC
rnacentral:tRNA from 1 species